rnacentral:misc_RNA from 1 species
CUCCAUAUAUCAACAGCAAGAUUAUAGCUACCAGUGUUCAUUAUAACCUGCAAAUGUCAUAAAGUCGAAUAUUGUCAAGCUAUAUAAACUUACGGGAACGCAGAAAUAAUAAUAAUAAUCCUGAAUGAGAACAAAAAGAUGAACAUGAGUAUACGGAUACCUCCGGUGCCAUCCAGUAAGGACUUCCUUUAAAAGAAAGCAUUGAAGAACCCGAUUUCGUCUGGAUUAUGAGAUAUAGGAUAUCAGAAACAGUAAACAGAAUGUUCAUCCAUUUGAAAGAGGAAUUGGCCCUAUGAAGUUACAGAAACCUACAUGCUUGGCCAUGCCAAAGUCAACAAGCUUAAUUUCACCAUUAGGAUCUACUAGUAUGUUUGCGCCUUUAAUGUCCCUGUGCACUGUAUUCCUUUUGUGUAAAUAUGCUAAACCAGAAAGAAUCUGCUUUGUGUAACUUCGAAUAACAGGUUCCGCAAAUGGACCAUAUUCAUUAAGCAAUUUUUGGAUUGAACCCCCAGAAACAUACUGCAAGUAGACUGACAGUUUAUCUUCUACCAUUUUGCUUCCAUAAUAUCGAACAAUAUUUGGAUGAGACAGUUCACUAAGCAAUGCAAUUUCCUGAUUCAGUUGCUUGAGACAUUCAGUUGAAUUCUGAUCAUCAGAAAUAAUCCUCACUUCCUUUAUUGCACACAUUUGUCCAUUUUCACUGUUAAAUCCAGCAUAAACAAGGCCAAAUGUCCCUCUGCCAAUAAGCUUUCCCUUCUUCCAAUUUGACUGCAUAUUCUGGGAAGAUUUAUUAGGAUAACCAGGAGGAAGGGGCAAUGGAUGACAAGGAUGCCUCCGACUUUCUUGCUUUUCAGAUGGGGAUUCCAACAGUAAUGGAGGUAGAGGUGAUGCCUGUGUAGUGGAAGCCUUUGAUCCAGGACAUGAAGUUCUUAACCAUGAGUUGUAAUUGGUUUCUUCAACUGCCCUGAAAGAACCAAAAUCUCCAUGAUCAUUAACAGUAGCAUCAACCCCUUCGUCAUUGGAAGAAAUAGAAGAAGAUAAAGAUAAAGACGAACUGCUGCUUGAAUGCAAAGCCACUUCAGAGUCUAGUUUUUUAUCGAAAUUUAUCGAUGGCUCAGGAGAACAUGCAGGUUUUGGCAAAGGGUAAGCUUUCUUUUCUGCAACCUCAAUUCCAAUAUCUGAAUCAAAACCUGCAAACACGGAAGACCCACUGAUGGAAAGGGAAGACGCUUUCAAAUCAAGACUGUUCCUUGAAUAGUUGUGAGCGAAAAGUAUGGAUUCGUCAAAACUCUUUGGCUUUUUUCUAUAUUUAUCUUCUUGUUCUUUCUUCUUGCCAUGGUUGUGCUGUUUAUGAUCUCGUUGAACUCUUUGAGAGUUUCUUGUCCUUGUCCACCAAGCUGGCAUUGCCACACAAGAGAGGAAUUGAAUGGAAUUAGGAGCAGAUCGAUGGAGCUGAGCUCUCUAUAUCUGACCACUACUUCUUGCGUCUUCCCUCUUCUGGUCCUCAAUCAUAUACGCAUGUUUGAUGUGCAUUUAUGAAUUUGUGUGUGCAUGCGCGUGUCACAGAGGGAGAGAGACCACACCACAGUAGGUUUUGCCUAGUUGGAAGAAAGUUUUAUUCAUCAUGAACCAAUAGCAACUUGAGUGAAUGGCAGAUGGGGCAGCUGGGCCAGCUAGGCGGCUGGAUAUAUCAGAUAUGAUUGAGACUCUCUGCCAUUCUCUCCAUGAUUCUAUAUAGUUCAAGAUCAAGGUUGAAAUGAACUGAAAUUAUCAU